rnacentral:misc_RNA from 1 species
AAGUCGUAACAAGGUCUCCGUAGGUGAACCUGCGGAGGGAUCAUUAACACUCACUUAAUUAUCCAAUACCAAAACCCAACGUGAACUUUUCCCCUCCCUGUAUAUUAGCAAUAAUAUAUAGGCUAACCUGCAUAUAUUUCUUUUAAUAUAUGUCCCUUUUAAUUUUUAACCCCUUGGAAACAAAUCGAACUGCAGUUCGCGGCCGAAAGGCGGAACUCUGCUAACACUAAGAUAUGUGCUUUUGAUAUACAAUACACGUAUCUUGGAUCUUAUGAAAUAUAAGAACAACUCUUAACAAUGGAUAUCUUGGUUCUC